UACGUAGGGUGCAAGCGUUGUCCGGAAUUAUUGGGCGUAAAGAGCUCGUAGGCGGUUUGUCGCGUCUGCUGUGAAAACUCGGGGCUUAACUCCGGGCCUGCAGUGGGUACGGGCAGACUAGAGUGCGGUAGGGGAGACUAGAAUUCCUGGUGUAGCGGUGAAAUGCGCAGAUAUCAGGAGGAACACCGGUGGUGAAGGCGGGUCUCUGGGCCGUAACUGACGCUGAGGAGCGAAAGCGUGGGGAGCGAACAGG
rnacentral:rRNA from 1 species